UGUAAGCUUCCGUAGCAAACGCUGCUCUUUUACACUUUGAAACAACCUUUCCUGGACAGACUUCAGUGCUGCAUUCAUCAUUGUCUGGGGUACUCUAAUCCAGAAAAGAGACACAAUUUACAGGAUUGUAAUCAAACAUGGAGCGUGACAAUGGGGAUGGAAAAACCAAUUUGCACAUGCAAACAUCCUGAAUGUGGAAUACAAAUUUUGACAUAAAUUAGAAGAUUUGUCUUUGGAUUUAUUGCCUAGUGAUCCCAUGUAAUAUGGGGCAUCAAACAGACAACAAGAAGAGGGGGUAACCCCAGCAUAGGGGAACGGAGCCAAUGCCGGAAAAAUUAAGAUGCAGAUAAUUUGGGCUCGGGGCACUGGAUUUCUGAAUGAACUUCGACUUCCAUAGGAAUAUUUUCAAAAUAUUUUUGGAUACUAAUUGAAUUAAAUUAGCCAACCUUUAAUGAUGUCAUGCUUUGAAGUCACCCUGGAUCAACACGAGCACAUAAGAAGGGUUCUUAAACUAGGUCAAACGACAUUUUCAGAGGAAGAAUUUCAAAAACAUAUUUUAGAAGAGCAUUGUCAUUUCCCAUCAAUCCGUUCUCUGAUUAAAUAUUUGUACUAAAUACAUAAUAAAUGAAAAUACCAAAAUCUAUUAAAAUAAUGAGUCGUAUUAUAAAAUCUCAAAGUAAAUGUUUGUUUCAAAGAAAAAUGUUAACACCUGUUAGAAAGUAUAGUUUACACCAAAAUCUGAAAAAUAAUGCUAUAUCAUUUAUAACAUAAUGCUCAUUUGAUACAAAUUUGGGGAUAGGCAUUCAAUGAUACGUAGGAAAAUAUUUUUACAUAAAAGCACUUUACAAAUAUGCAUUUAAAACAAAAAUAUGCAUUCAAAACUAAAACAGAA